GACGAACGCUGGCGGCGUGCUUAACACAUGCAAGUCGAACGGAAAGGCCCUGCUUUCGUGGGGUGCUCGAGUGGCGAAAGGGUGAGUAAGACGUGAGUAACCUGCCUUUGAUUUUGGGAAAUCGUCAGGAAACCGGGGCUAAUAGCGGAAAGGAGCUCCUGCUGCAUGGUGGGGGUCGGAAGGUUUCGGCGGUUGGGGUUGGACUCGGGGCUUAUCUGCUUGUUGGUGGGGUAGUGGCUUACCAAGGCUUUGACGGAUAGCCGGCCUGAGAGGGUGACCGGCCACAUUGCGACUGAGAUACGGCCCAGACGCCUACGGGAGGCAGCAGUGGGGAGUAUUGCACAAUGGGCGGAAGCCUGAGGCAGCAACGCCGCGUGCGGGAUGACGGCCUUCGGGUUGUAAACCGCAUUCGCCUGUGACGAAGCGUGAGUGACGGUAAUGGGUAAAGAAGCACCGGCUAACUACGUG
rnacentral:rRNA from 1 species